rnacentral:lncRNA from 1 species
AACAAAGAUUCUAAUGCAACAACGUUUGUAACGUUCAUUUUGAUUGGAUAACGUCACUUUCUUACAUGGUAUCAAUUGACAAUUUAUGCUAUGGGACGUACGCGCAAGCGCAGACGGCAUAUGACAGAUUUUAAAUGCAUGUUUUAACGUUAUUUUCUGUCAGUUUCAUUAGAAUGGAGAUAACAAUAUUGUAUUUUAAGCUCCGACGGC